rnacentral:rRNA from 1 species
ACUCAAAUGAAUAGACGGGGGCCCGCACAAGCGGCGGAGCAUGUGGAUUAAUUCGAUGCAACGCGAAGAACCUUACCUGGGUUUGACAUGCACAGGAUGCUCGUAGAGAUACGGGUUCCCUUGUGGCCUGUGUGCAGGUGGUGCAUGGCUGUCGUCAGCUCGUGUCGUGAGAUGUUGGGUUAAGUCCCGCAACGAGCGCAACCCUUGUCUCAUGUUGCCAGCACGUGAUGGUGGGGACUCGUGAGAGACUGCCGGGGUCAACUCGGAGGAAGGUGGGGAUGACGUCAAGUCAUCAUGCCCCUUAUGUCCAGGGCUUCACACAUGCUACAAUGGCCGGUACAAAGGGCGGCGAUGCCGUGAGGCUUAGCGAAUCCUUUAAAGCCGGUCUCAGUUCGGAUCGGGGUCUGCAACUCGACCCCGUGAAGUCGGAGUCGCUAGUAAUCGCAGAUCAGCAAUGCUGCGGUGAAUACGUUCCCGGGCCUUGUACACACCGCCCGU